CGGCUCAGAUGAACGCUAGCUACAGGCUUACACAUGCAAGUCGAGGGGCAGCAUGGUCUUAGCUUGCUAAGGCCGAUGGCGACCGGCGCACGGGUGAGUAACACGUAUCCAACCUGCCGUCUACUCUUGGACAGCCUUCUGAAAGGAAGAUUAAUACAAGAUGGCAUCAUGAGUCCGCAUGUUCACAUGAUUAAAGGUAUUCCGGUAGACGAUGGGGAUGCGUUCCAUUAGAUAGUAGGCGGGGUAACGGCCCACCUAGUCUUCGAUGGAUAGGGGUUCUGAGAGGAAGGUCCCCCACAUUGGAACUGAGACACGGUCCAAACUCCUACGGGAGGCAGCAGUGAGGAAUAUUGGUCAAUGGGCGAGAGCCUGAACCAGCCAAGUAGCGUGAAGGAUGACUGCCCUAUGGGUUGUAAACUUCUUUUAUAAAGGAAUAAAGUCGGGUAUGGAUACCCGUUUGCAUGUACUUUAUGAAUAAGGAUCGGCUAACUCCGUGCCAGCAGCCGCGGUAAUACGGAGGAUCCGAGCGUUAUCCGGAUUUAUUGGGUUUAAAGGGAGCGUAGAUGGAUGUUUAAGUCAGUUGUGAAAGUUUGCGGCUCAACCGUAAAAUUGCAGUUGAUACUGGAUAUCUUGAGUGCAGUUGAGGCAGGCGGAAUUCGUGGUGUAGCGGUGAAAUGCUUAGAUAUCACGAAGAACUCCGAUUGCGAAGGCAGCCUGCUAAGCUGCAACUGACAUUGAGGCUCGAAAGUGUGGGUAUCAACAGGAUUAAU
rnacentral:rRNA from 1 species